rnacentral:rRNA from 1 species
CGGCGAGUGAGCGGCAAAAGCUCAAAUUUGAAAUCUGGCGCCUUCGGUGUCCGAGUUGUAAUUUGAAGAUUGUAACCUUGGGGUUGGCUCUUGUCUAUGUUUCUUGGAACAGGACGUCACAGAGGGUGAGAAUCCCGUGCGAUGAGAUGCCCAAUUCUAUGUAAGGUGCUUUCGAAGAGUCGAGUUGUUUGGGAAUGCAGCUCUAAGUGGGUGGUAAAUUCCAUCUAAAGCUAAAUAUUGGCGAGAGACCGAUAGCGAACAAGUACAGUGAUGGAAAGAUGAAAAGAACUUUGAAAAGAGAGUGAAAAAGUACGUGAAAUUGUUGAAAGGGAAGGGUUUGAGAUCAGACUCGAUAUUUUGUGAGCCUUGCCUUCGUGGCGGGGUGACCCGCAGCUUAUCGGGCCAGCAUCGGUUUGGGCGGUAGGAUAAUGGCGUAGGAAUGUGACUUUACUUCGGUGAAGUGUUAUAGCCUGCGUUGAUGCUGCCUGCCUAGACCGAGGACUGCGAUUUUAUCAAGGAUGCUGGCAUAAUGAUCCCAAACCGCCCGUCUUGA